GAUGAACGCUGGCGGCGUGCUUAACACAUGCAAGUCGAACGGAAAGGCCCUGCUUUUGCGGGGUGCUCGAGUGGCGAACGGGUGAGUAACACGUGAGUAACCCGCCCUUGACUUUGGGAUAUCUUCAGGAAACUGGGGCUAAUACAGGAUAGGAGAUCCUGCUGCAUGGUGGGGGUCGGAAAGUUUCGGCGGUGGGGGAUAGACUCGCGGGUUAUUAGCUGGUUGGUGGGGUAGUUGCUUACCAAGGGUUUGACGGAUAGGCCGCCUGGGAGGGGGGACAGCGUCCAUGGGCCUAAGAUACGGACCAGUCGCCAACGUGAGGCAGCAGGCGAGAGUCUUGCACAGUGAGGGGACGCCUGUUGCAGCAGCCCCGCGUGCGGAAUGACCGCCUUCGUGUUAUAAACCGCUGUCGCCUUUGACGUAGCGUUAUUGACGGUAAUGAGUAAAGAAGCACCGGCUAACUACGUG
rnacentral:rRNA from 1 species